GGAGAAUGGAGAUCAUGGUUACUUGCUGCCGCACGAAUUGACCGAUUUAGCCAGCGCUUGUUUGUGUCGGAACUCGGAAGUUUAAGUUAUUGUUCAUAUCUAUGAUGCAAAUGGAAACGGCUCCAUUGAUCAAGGAGAAUUUAGUGCCGUUCUCACAUGCUCUAUUGCCGGCAAUUCGCUGUCGUUGAGCACUCAACAGGUGGAGCACCUUACCAGAACGCUCUUCGAUGCCAUCGACAAGGAUAUGGAUGAUGUGGUAUCCUUCGACGAGUUCCGUGCAUUUCUGGACAGCUCACCGGAACUACUGGACAGUCUACAAGUGUCAAUUUCGCGCUUUUUGCGCCCGCCACGAAUACCGGAUUUUGAAGUUUCGGGUCCUUUAAAAAAGAUGCAUUUUUCGUUAUUGUCAUGUUGUAUAUGCACCGGCAUCCAUGCGAAUUUGUCUGGGGAUGGCUGUUUUUGGUAUCUGUCGUCGCGUUUUUCACGUAGGGAGCCGUGGCUGCUGGAUACCGACUGUAUAAAUUUCUAUUACCACCAACCAGCUUUUCCUGUUUAAACAUUGUAAAACAGACUUCAAAAAUAUUUCAGAUGAUUAUU